GAGAGAGACAUGCGCGCAUAUCAAUAAGCGGAGGAAAAGAAACUAACAAGGAUUCCCCUAGUAACGGCGAGUGAAGCGGGAAGAGCUCAAAUUUGAAAUCUUAAAGGGUUUCCCUUUACGAAUUGUAGUUUAAAGAAGUGUUUUCUGUUGAGGUUUUGGUAAAAGUUCUUUGGAAUAGGACAUCAUAGAGGGUGAGAAUCCCGUAUUUGACCAUUAUUUCCAGCUUUGUGAUACACUUUCAAAGAGUCGGAUUGUUUGGGAAUGCAGUCCAAAAUGGGUGGUAAAUUUCAUCUAAAGCUAAAUAUUGGCGAGAGACCGAUAGCGAACAAGUACCGUGAGGGAAAGAUGAAAAGAACUUUGAAAAGAGAGUUAAACAGUACGUGAAAUUGUCAAAAGGGAAGCGUUUGACACCAGUGUUGUUUUUCUGAAAAUCAAUUAAAGAACUGUUUAUGCUAAGUUGUUUAGACUUUAUCAGCUAAGUGUUUAGUUUUAGAGCUUUUCUUUAAUGCACUUUUCAGUUAACAAGUCAACAUCAAUUUCUUUUGCUGUAAAAAAGCUUGAGGAAGGUGGCUUGAGAUUCGUCUUAAGUGUUUAUAGCCUCUUGCCUAUGCAGUCGGAGAGAUUGAGGUCUGCAGCGUAGAUCCUUCGGGGCUAAAUGCAUUUGUGCUAAGCUAUAGCAUUUUAUAGACAACUUGUUGACUAUGAUUUGUCUUGUAGCUUACUCGCUUAUGUUAUUUUACCUACGCUUAGGAUGUUGAAGACUCUACAGAGAUA
rnacentral:rRNA from 1 species